rnacentral:lncRNA from 1 species
GCCCCCCUUCUUGGUCCCUCACACUUCUGCCUGCGGGGAGACCAGGGAGACCAGGGGCCCGCACCUCCGCCCUCGCCGCACACCGGGGUCUGGCCGCCCUGCAGGCCUGGAGAGGAAAGGGGGGUCUCCAAGGCCAGGGCUCCGGCCCCCCCCCCAAGGCGGCCCCGCGUCCACCGGGCAGGGCCCCCGCGCGCCCCCGCCCGAGGCAGCCCAGCUGCCCUGUCCCGCGUGGCUGCGGGCCCUGGGGAGAAGCGCCGCAGGGGUGGGGGGGGCGCGCCCGGCCUCCCUGCGCCUCGCACCUGCGCCCACCUGCCCGCCCGCGGAAGUCACCCCCCGCGUAGCCGGGAGCCCGGGGGCGCGCUGUCCCUCGGCUCGGGCCACCGGGAAGGGGUCCAGGGGUGCGGCCCGGGUGAUGCUUCCGCGGCGCCGCGGGGGUCGGGCGCGGGCAGGCGGCCCCUGCAGACCCACCUUCUCAAUGGCAGGUCCAUUCUGUCCCCACAGCGAUCCCGCCGAGCCCCGAAGGGGUCCGCGGGCCCGACCUCUGUGACGUCACAGCCAUCUCCGCGGCGACCCUCCCGGCCCUUGGGCGCCCGCGCCCCCGCGCCCCUGCACUCCGCGCCCCCGCGCCCCUGCACCCUUGCACCCCGCGGCCCUGCACCCUUGCACCCCGCGCCCCUGUGCCCCAGCGCCCCGCGCCUCUGCACUCCGCACCCCUGCGCCCAGCGCCCUGCACCCCGCGCCCCUGCACCCCUGCACCCCGCGUCCCUGCACCCCUGCACCCCGCGCCCCUUCGCCCCAGCUCCCCGCGCCCCUGCUCCCCGAGCCCCUGCACCCCGCACCCCGUGCCCCUGCACCCCGCACCCCACGCCCCUGCAACCCGCGCCCCUGCACCCCGCACCCCUGAACCCCGCGCCCCUGAACCCCUGCACUCCGCGCCCCGCGCCCCCACACCCCGCACCCCCGCGCCCCUGCACCCGCGCCCCGCGCCCCUGCACCCCGCGCCCCUUCGCCCCUGCGCUCCGCGCCCCUGCACCCCGCACCCCUGCACCCUGUGCCCCUGCGCCACACGCCCCGGCACCACGCGCCCCGCGGCCCUGCACCCCGCGGCCCUGCACCCCGCACCCCGCGCCCCCUGCGCCCCGCACCCCGGCACUCCCGCGCCCCGGGGCAGGGACCCACUCUCCCGCGCCCCACUGCCCCCCUCGGCAGCCCUUCUAA